GAUGAAGAACGCAGCGAAAUGCGAUAAGUAAUGUGAAUUGCAGAAUUCAGUGAAUCAUCGAAUCUUUGAACACACAUUGCGCCCCUUGGUAUUCCGAGGGGCAUGCCUGUUCGAGCGUCAUUAUAACCCCUCAAGCUCAGCUUGGUGUUGGGGCCUGCUGCACUGGCAGCCCUUAAAAUCAGUGGCGGCGCCAUCUGGCUCUAAGCGUAGUAAUUCUUCUCGCUAUGGAGUCCUGGUGGAUGCUUGCCAUCAACCCCCAAUUUUUCUAUGGAUGACCUCGGAUCAGGUAGGGAUACCCGCUGAACUUAAGCAUAUCAAUAAGCGGAGGA
rnacentral:misc_RNA from 1 species